UACGUAGGGUGCGAGCGUUAAUCGGAAGUACUGGGCGUAAAGCGUGCGCAGGCGGCUUUGCAAGACAGAUGUGAAAUCCCCGGGCUCAACCCGGGAACUGCAUUUGUGACUGCAAGGCUAGAGUACGGCAGAGGGGGAUGGAAUUCCGCGUGUAGCAGUGAAAUGCGUAGAUAUGCGGAGGAACACCAAUGGCGAAGGCAAUCCCCUGGGCCUGUACUGACGCUCAUGCACGAAAGCGUGGGGAGAAAACAGG
rnacentral:rRNA from 1 species